GAGAAAUCUCAGGUGAACACUUCCUGUGUUCACAGGGCACUCCUGUAAUUCAGAGCCUGGAUCGGAGGGCUUUGCUUAAGGGAAGUGGCCCUUGCUCUGAGGAGGAGACACGUCCUGUUGGAAAAGGGAGCAGGCCAGGAUCUCCUGAGAAUCAAGGACAGGAAUCCAGGCACCUGAAACCUCAAGAAAACUCUGGAUGUCCAAACAGAACAUCAUGAUGCCCCAUGGUCAGAGGAGUCAAGACCACAAGCCAGAAGAAAGCCAUCCCGGCCAGAGUAGUGCAUGGGUCCGCAUGGGUGUGCAGGGUCUCGAGGAUGAGGAGGAAGCAGCAGCCACUGUUCCGGCUGCAUCCUCUUCCUCCUGUGCUUUAAUGGGGGCCACAGCAAGAGAAGAGCCUGGGCCCAGGACACCAAGUUGUCCUCAAAAUCCUCAUGACAUGUCCUCUCCGCUCAUUGCUGUGGCUUCCAGUGAAAGCAGUCAAUGUUGUCAGGGACCCAGCAAGCAAGAAGAGCAGGGCCCAAGUCACUCCCAGGAUAAGGAGACACGUCAGAUCACGCAGGGUGAGAUUGCAAAUGAUAAGCUAGAUAAGAUUGUGCGAGUUCUG